rnacentral:rRNA from 1 species
GACGAACGCUGGCGGCGUGCCUAAUACAUGCAAGUAGAACGCUGAAGCGAGGAGCUUACUCUUCUUGGGUGAGUUGCGGACGGGUGAGUAACGCGUAGGUAACCUGCCUUUUAGCGGGGGAUAACUAUUGGAAACGAUAGCUAAUACCGCAUAACAAUGGAUGACACAUGUCUUUUAUUUGAAAGGGGCAAUUGCUCCACUACAAGAUGGACCUGCGUUGUAUUAGCUAGUAGGUGAGGUAAUGGCUCACCUAAGCGACGAUACAUAGCCGACCUGGGAGGGUGGACGGGCCACAUGGGAACGGGACAAGGCCCAAGCUCCCAAGGGAGGCAGCAGGAGGGGAACUUCGGGCAAGGGGGGAAAGCCGACCGGGGAAAGGCGGGUGGGGGAAGGAGGUUCUCGGAUCGUAAAACUCUGUUGUAAAGGAAGAAAGGGUGUGGGAGUGGAAAGUUCACGCUGUGACGGUAGCUAAUCAGAAAGGGACGGCUAACUACGUG